CCUACGUGAGGCAGCAGUGGGGAAUAUUGCGCAAUGGGCGAAAGCCUGACGCAGCGACGCCGCGUGAGGGAUGAAGGUCUUCGGAUCGUAAACCUCUGUCAGCAGGGAAGAACGGUCACUGUGCUAAUCAGCAGUGAAUUGACGGUACCUGCAAAGGAAGCACCGGCUGACUCCGUGCCAGCAGCCGCGGUAAUACGGAGGGUGCGAGCGUGAAUCGGAAUUACUGGGCGUAAGGCGCUCGUAGGCGGUAUGUCAAGUCAAGGGUGAAAUCCCCGCGCUCAACGUGGGAACUGCCUUUGAAACUGGCAAACUGGAGUGUGUGAGAGGAUAGUGGAAUUCCAGGUGUAGGAGUGAAAUCCGUAGAUAUCUGGAGGAACAUCAGUGGCGAAGGCGACUAUCUGGCACAUAACUGACGCUGAGGAGCGAAAGCGUGGGUAGCAAACAGGAUUAGAUACCCGAGUAGUC
rnacentral:rRNA from 1 species